ACCCCGCACAAGCGGUGGAUCAUGUUGUUUAAUUCGAUGAUACGCGAAGAACCUUACCAGGUCUUGACAUCCCCUGCAAAGCUAUGGAGACAUAGUGGAGGUUAUCAGGGAGACAGGUGGUGCAUGGUUGUCGUCAGCUCGUGUCGUGAGAUGUUGGGUUAAGUCCCGCAACGAGCGCAACCCUUAUUGCUAGUUACCAUCAUUCAGUUGGGGACUCUAGCGAGACUGCCAGUGAUAAACUGGAGGAAGUGGGGAUGACGUCAAAUCAUCAUGCCCCUUAUGACCUGGGCUACAAACGUGAUACAAUGGCUGAAACAAAGGGCAGCGAAGCAGUGAUGUGGAGCGAAACCCAAAAAAGCAGUCUCAGUUCGGAUUGAAGUCUGCAACUCGACUUCAUGAAGUCGGAAUCGCUAGUAAUCGCGGAUCAGAACGCCGCGGUGAAUACGUUCUCGGGGUUU
rnacentral:rRNA from 1 species